GUAUUUUGGAGCAUUUUCACGUUAAUGAAGGCAAAAAUUUGUGAAGUAGAACUGGCUAACCUGGAUGUGGAUUGUGUUGAGAUAAUGUCGCUCCUGGUCAGAUGAAACAGAAUAGUGUGAGGCUAAAGCUAGAACAAGUUAUUGCACUUCAAGGAAGAGAGAAGGGCUAGAAUCUGAUCCUCCACUUCAGAGAAUAAGGUGCUGUUUUGUUGCUCUGCAUUUCUUGCUGAUGUGAGUCGCAACAGAUGAAUCAAAAUGUGAAACAACUAUUUUAUUAUCCAGAAUGCUCCAAGAUCAGAAAUAAACCAAGGCAUGGAAGAAACAAAGCCAUAUGAGGACACAGCAUUUGUCCCCUUCAGAGAAUGCCAUAACAAGAUGCCACUUUGGAAGCAGAGAGCAAUCCUUGGCAGAAACUGAACCGGCCAGCACCUUGCUUUUGGACUGCUCAACCUCUAAAACUAUGAAAAAAGUUCUCAAAGGAAUAUGUUUUGCCGAUGUGGAAGAUG